rnacentral:tRNA from 1 species
CCAUCGGUGGUUUAGUGUUAGAAUGCUCGCCUGCCACGCGGGAGGCCCGGGUUCGAUUCCCGGCCGAUGCA